CAGCAGCCGCGGGAACACGUAGGGUGCAAGCGUUAAUCGGAAUUACUGGGCGUAAAGCGUGCGCAGGCGGUUUGUUAAGACAGAUGUGAAAUCCCCGGGCUUAACCUGGGAACUGCAUUUGUGACUGGCAAGCUAGAGUAUGGCAGAGGGGGGUGGAAUUCCGCGUGUAGCAGUGAAAUGCGUAGAUAUGCGGAGGAACACCGAUGGCGAAGGCAGCCCCCUGGGCCAAUACUGACGCUCAUGCACGAAAGCGCGGGGAGCAAACAGGAUUAGAUACCCCUGUAGUCCCUGUCUCUUAUAC
rnacentral:rRNA from 1 species